AAUUUACAAUAUAUCUUGCAAGAUAAAAUGAUUAAAAGAAUUACAAAGAAAAUAAUAUAAAACUAAUAUUCUCCAAGAUAAAUGUACAAUGUGACAUAACCUCUUUAAGGUAAAUCUCCAAUUACAUCGAUACAAGGUGGGACAGAAGAAAGAUAACAAAAGUAAAACAACGUACCUUGAAAAUCUAGGAAAAACCACCACAGAAUACCGAGCGUACACCUCCAAACAAACAACACCAGCCGUUGAUGAAAUGUCCAGAUUAAAAUGCCCAAUCCAUCAAUUGUACGAUGUAAUAUUAAAACGUGCUUGCGUUGCGGGCACGAACGUGUAUCUUAUUGAUUUUAAUAAAUUUUAUCCUUCAUGUGUACCAUUCAACGGUGAUUUUAUUAAGAGCGCUCAUCUUUAAAUUGUCUGAGCUUUUUAGCUUCGUUCUGUAUUCAUGCGCCGAACUACGUUGUUAUUGUUUGUUAACUUUUAAUAAUUGUUGCGCGUGGUGGUCAUUCACACGUUAGUGUGUACUAACGUCCGUUCACACGCUAACGUGAUUUUAAUUCAACUUUUUUAAUUGACUAAUUUUGUUAGU